rnacentral:tRNA from 1 species
GUGCUUGUAGCUUAGUGGAUAAAGUGUUUAAAUCCUACAAAGGAGGUCACUUGUUUGACCCCUGUCUAGCGCG